GAACGCUAGCGGCAGGCCUAAUACAUGCAAGUCGAACGGGAUCCAGGUGUCAGCUUGCUAACAUCUGGUGAGAGUGGCGCACGGGUGCGUAACGCGUGAGCAACCUACCCAUAUCAGGGGGAUAGCCCGAAGAAAUUCGGAUUAACACCGCAUAAGACUACGAGAUGGCAUCAUCAAGUAGUUAAAUAUUUAUAGGAUAUGGAUGGGCUCGCGUGACAUUAGCUAGUUGGUGAGGUAACGGCUCACCAAGGCGACGAUGUCUAGGGGCUCUGAGAGGAGAAUCCCCCACACUGGUACUGAGACACGGACCAGACUCCUACGGGAGGCAGCAGUAAGGAAUAUUGGUCAAUGGACGGAAGUCUGAACCAGCCAUGCCGCGUGCAGGAUGACUGCCCUAUGGGUUGUAAACUGCUUUUGUCGAGGAAUAAACCUAUCUACGUGUAGAUAGCUGAAUGUACUCGAAGAAUAAGGAUCGGCUAACUCCGUGCCAGCAGCCGCGGUAAUACGGAGGAUCCGAGCGUUAUCCGGAUUUAUUGGGUUUAAAGGGUGCGUAGGCGGCACUUUAAGUCAGGGGUGAAAGACGGCAGCUUAACUGUCGCAGUGCCUUUGAUACUGAAGUGCUUGAAUGCGGUUGAAGACGGCGGAAUGAGACAAGUAGCGGUGAAAUGCAUAGAUAUGUCUCAGAACACCGAUUGCGAAGGCAGCUGUCUAAGCCGUUAUUGACGCUGAUGCACGAAAGCGUGGGGAUCGAACAGGAUUAGAUACCCUGGUAGUCCACGCCCUAAACGAUGAUAACUCGAUGUUUGCGAUAUACCGUAAGCGUCCAAGCGAAAGCGUUAAGUUAUCCAC
rnacentral:rRNA from 1 species